AUAAUUAUGUCAGCCUGGUUUUAUCUCUAGGCUCCAGAUUUGGAAGCCAAGUGUUUUCUCAGGGUAUUCUGAUGAACAACGCUAUGGCUAGUUUUGAUCUUCCAAAUGAGGAGGAUACAGUGAGAUCCGGAAACCAACUCGGGGAGGGAAAACGACCUUUAUCAUACUCAUCCCCUACCAUCAUAGUAGACAGACAG